GUUGGGAACCUCCGUGAUAGUCGGGUGAUCGCAGCUCCGCUCCGCUAUUGUGGUUCUCGCGUGGCAUUGUGUGUUCGAUUAUUUGAAACAAUUCAUAAUUAACCUUGAAAGUUUUCAGUGAUUUUGUAGUUCGUAAACAUGACAGUUAGCGUGACAGUUGAAGUUACACACAGAAAAGCCUUAGUGUGAAGAAGUACUGUAUCCAAAUUAACCAUAGGCCUACUAAGUGUUAAGCCUAGUGUCUGCCAUUACAUUACGGCAUACUGCAAGGCGAUGAUGGUGUAACACACUGAACCCAGAACAUUUGGAAGUUGGUAAUUAGUUGCAAUUAAAGCCUGAUUAGUUUCAAUUAAAGUCUGAUCCUUCUGAUUAUGUGGAUUGGCUAGUUCAUUGCGUAGGCCCAGUUAAACCAAAUAACCUUUUCCGCUUCUAAACUCUGCUUUUGCCGCUGCGAAAGCUCCUACUUCUACACAGCAACAUGUCUUCCAUCUUCAAUAAGUUCAGGAAGCAUAAGGAAGAUAAGGAUGCCUCCAAAAAAGGUUAGUGUGUCUGUAUUCGUCCGCCGGAUUAGAUAAGUACAAUCUUACGUCAGAAGUCGCAGUAAUAAUUAUUGUGUGGAACGUAUUUGUAAACCAUUGCGUUUCAUUCUCAAACAGAAGUUAGUUAUUACGUUU